CGCUCCCAUUGCAGCUGCCGUAGACACUAGCGCCAGAGUUCCCUCUAGUAAUUCUUGUAGGAAACUCUAUGGUGUCAGUGUCUGCUCGUCUCGUCUGCUCGAAGACGCAGCGUGGCUUUUAAGUGCGUGUAGCCGUUUUUGAACCGUGGAGCCUUGAGCACUUCAGCUUCAACAGCUGCACUGCAGUGGCUGCAAUCAACCCUGUAGCGUUUAUUUUUUAGUAGCACGUAAUCGACCUGUGACAAACUUCUCUUGUGAAUAGUCCACUUGUGACUAGGCCGGCAAGAUGUCAAGGGCUCGCCUCGCGCACAAGUUGAAAUCGAUGGCUGCCAUUGUGGGUGGAGCCUCCCUGAGCUUUGUGGGCGUGGCAACCAUGUGCGGACAGGCAGACUUCUACAGCCGCUUCCUGAUGCCCGCCGUGCAUGCUGUGCUGGACCCAGAGCAUGCACACCUGCUGGGCGUCCAGGUGGCGCGGCUGCAGCUGCUGCGUCCCCAGCGGGAGCCCGACCCUGAUGUUUUGCACACAGAGCUGUUUGGCCUGCAGUUCUCCAACCCAAUAGGUCUGGCAGCAGGCUUUGACAAGCAUGCAGAAGGUGUGCCUGGUGCCCAUGACUGGGGCUUUGGCUUUGUUGAGGUUGGCUCAGUGACCCCACUGCCACAGCCUGGAAACCCCCGGCCACGUGUGUUUCGGCUCGCUGAAGAUCUUGCGGUGGUCAACAGGUACGGCUUCAACAGUGUGGGCCAUGAGCAGGUGUGGUCUUCCCUGCAUAGCAGCCGUGCUGCGUGGCGCGGCCCAGUGGGCGUCAACCUGGGUCGCAACAAGGAAAGUUCAAACGCAGCUGCCGACUACGUGGCAGGUGUUCACCGCUUUGCUGACCUGGCUGAUUACCUGGUGGUGAACGUGUCAAGCCCAAAUACUCCAGGGCUGCGCACACUGCAGGGGCGGCACCACCUUGAGAAUCUGCUGCGCAAGGUGCUGGAGGCGAGGGACAGCUUACCCAGGAGACUGCCCGUGCUGGUCAAGAUUGCCCCCGACCUGAGUGAUGAGGAGAAAGCAGACAUUGCAGCUGCUGUCACAAACACCAAGGUAGAUGGCCUGGUAGUGUGCAACACGACCGUCUCACGGCCCAGCAGUCUGCGCAGUGAGCACCGGGCUCAGCCGGGGGGCCUCAGUGGCAGGCCACUCAGGGACCUCUCCACACAGACCAUUGCAGACCUCUACCGCCUCACAAAAGGAUCCAUACCGAUUGUGGGUGUUGGAGGUGUGUUCUCUGGUGAGGAUGCGUACGCCAAGAUCCGUGCGGGGGCAUCUGCUGUGCAGCUGUACUCUGCCCUCAUCUACAACGGUCCACCUGUGGUGCGCACGGUCAAGACACGGCUGGCCGAGCUGCUCAGAGAAGGAGACAGGACUAAAAGCUGGCAAGCUUGACAGAGGUCCUGCCCCCAUGUGAUUAGAGACUCCCCUGGGACAUUCAAGUACCACCGUCCGUCAGGCGCCGUUUUACUCACCGACAGCAGCAAACGAUGGUGAUGGCAUAUGGAACGUCACCACUCCCACGGUUGGAUAGCGGAAGAUUUGAAUUACGAAAAAGGCCCUGAUUAGGUUCCGCUGCAUGAGCAUUUUAUGUGCCACUGGACUUGCACUGGUGUGAAAAUUCAUGGAUCCAUAUGCAAGAACCACAUAUACCAUUUCCACGACCGAGUACAGCCAAUACAUACCACUGCCACCUCAGUUAAUCUGCACUCGGUACUAAUGGCAGCAGAACUGAGUGCAAGUGUGCCUUUAAGGAAGAUAAAACAGCAUGCAGUAA